rnacentral:antisense_RNA from 1 species
AACUAUGGUGGCUCUGGCGGGGCAGCUUACGGGCUGGCCGGUUUCCGAUGUGACCGGUACUGCGAACCUUGUCUGAGCCGCCACCCAA